GGGGGGGGGGGGGGGGGGGGGAACAAAAUUGGAAAAAAUUAGGGUUCUCUCCCCCAAAAUCCCGCACCACCAUCCCCAAUACCAGCUUCCCUUUGCUUCCCUUGUCCACUCCGUCGCCGAGCAACACGUGCACGUCUACAGCGCUUCCAUUGUCCACUCCGUCGCCGCCACCUUGCUGCCUCUAAGCGCCGUCAAUGGGCUCCUCUUCCAACGACGAGGAGCACACACCUGUGCAACAGCGCCGUCGUUAGUUCCUCUGGCUCCAACCUCCUCUUCUGUGCAGAGGUAAGAUUUCCACAAAAGCAAAUAUUGUUUGUUUUUUUCUUUGUUCUUGUUAUACUUUAGAUAUAUGAUUCUGCUUUAGAAGAAGAACCUGACAUGGACUAUUAUAUUCCUCUUUAUAUCAUUGGAAUUCCUUGAUUUGGUUAUGAUUUGGAAUCUCCGAGAGCAAGGAAUUAUUGCUGAGGCUGCAUUUUUUUAGUCUCCUAAUAGAGAAUUACAGAAAAAUAAACUAAUUGCCUCCACUAAACUGUAAUUAUCCGUUGUAUUUAUUAAUUUCAAAAACUCAACACCAACCACUAUUCAUGGCUUAAUUGUUUUUUAAAUGGUUAGAAUUUAAAAGUUUUUUUUUGGUACAUCAAAAUGAUAAAUUACACCCUUUAGUGAUUGAACUUUGGAUCUUCCUAUCCCCAACUCAUAUGUCUCUUAGCUUUAUCACUUAAGUUAUCUUUCUCGUGAGAAAUUCUGAAAAUAUAAAAAUAAAUGAUUUUUUAUAGAAACUUUAAAUAAAUGAUUUUAAUAAGAGUAAAUUUGGAAGAUUGGUAAAUAUUUUUUAAAAAUUAAUACAUUAAAUUGUUUUAUUACAUAAUUUUAUUGAUAAAGACGUUAUGAUAUUAAUAAGAUAUUAAUAAGAGACUGAAAGGUAUUUUAUUUUUAAAACGUGAAAACGACAUCGUUUUGGAGUCUGGAGGGAAAGGCAAAUUGGAACGUUCUGUGCGUUGCGUUUUCUGAAUUCUGAUUCACUCUUCACUUCACCAUACCCUAGGUGAAGUCCGCUCCUUGCUCAGGGUGUUCAACUACGGGGUAGUGGGAACUUGAGGGAAGCUGUGGAUUUCUUAUGUAACUUUUAUUCUUGUUGGCAUAUUUGCAAUAUAUUUACAGCAAUAGGAAAGGAAACAGCCUUUUUUUAUAGCUUGUGGCCUACAGCCUAUGGCCAUGGAUUUUGAAUCAAAUUAUGAUAUUGCUGCCACUGCUCACUUCAUUCGCACUCACAACUUCACCAGAGUUGCAUUACAAUUUCCAGAUGAUCUUCUGAAAGAUUCAACUAGAGUGGUCACUGCUCUGCGCAAGAGACUUCAAUCAUUGAGAGAAUUUGAUGUCACAAGCAGUGCGGAUGAGACAGACGUUGGGUUGUUUGUGAUGGCAGACACCACCUAUGGCAGUUGUUGUGUUGAUGAAGUUGGAGCAUCACACAUUAAUGCUGAUUGUGUCAUACAUUACGGUCAUACAUGUUUUAGCCCGUGAGUCACUUUGCUGAUGUUCCAUCUCCAUUUAUGUUUCCAUCGAAAGAUAUAACAAAAUUAAAUGGGCUCCAAGAACCAGCCUGUGGUUGUAGCAACAAUGCCUUUUCUGAUGGGACCAGUGGGACUAUAUAUAGUAUUGGAGGAUUGACAUGGAAAUUAUCUGAGGGACAAAGCAUGGAAGACUACUUGCUCUUUUGGAUUGGACUUGAUAAUUCUGCUUUUGCAAAUGUAGUGCUCACAUUCAAUGCCUGUGAAAUAGUCAGAUAUGAUGUGACUGGGAAUCGAAUGGUGACAGACUUGUCUCCACAGAGGAGGAUUCUUAAACGUAGAUAUUACCUGGUGGAGAGGGCUAAGGAUGCUAACAUUGUUGCGAUUUUGGUUGGAACUCUUGGAGUUGCUGGUUAUCUGAACAUCAUAAAUCAGAUGACGGAGCUCAUUAAAGGGGCGGGCAAAAAACCCUAUACUUUGGUUAUGGGAAGACCAAACCCAGCUAAACUUGCAAACUUUCCUGAGUGUGAUGUUUUUUUAUACGUCUCUUGUGCCCAAACUGCUUUGCUGGAUAGCAAAGAGUAUCUUGCUCCAGUUAUUACUCCCUUUGAAGCAUCAAUAGCUUUCAACAGGGGAAGCCAGUGGACCGGAGCCUAUGUAAUGGGAUUUAGAGAUCUAAUUAAUCUACCUCAAUUAAAAGUUGAAAACCAAGAUGAAGAAGCACGAUUUUCAUUCUUACAGGGCAGAUAUGUUGAAGAUUUUGAAAAUCAAGAAAAUGGUGAGCAACAAAGUGAAGCUCUUGCUCUAGCUAACGCGACAGAGAAGGCACUGCAGUUGCGGGAGAACUGUAAUUCUCUAAUCAAAGGGGAUGCUAGAUCAGGAGCAGAAUUUUUCAGGAAUCGAUCUUAUCAUGGUCUGAAUAUGCCCAGCGAAAACACCUCCCCAGAACCAUAUUUCAAAGGAAGGAGUGGAAGGGCAUCUGGAUAUGAGGAUGAGAAGAACAAACAUGACAAUUUGUGAUUAAUGGCUACGAGAUGUAAUCAUAUAUUAUAUUUCAUUGUUUCUCUCCUUUUCGAAUUUAUAGCAAAGGAGAGAAAAAAACAAUUUUGUUUUUAUUAUCAUCAUUAUAAUUAAUGCCACUCAUAAAUCUUUCAUAAUAUUAUUGUCUGUUUUUUUUAAA